AAUACCGUUCCGGAUGUACUCGCGGAACUCGCUAAAGACUGCCCUUGGUCGCACGCGGUCAAACCAAUCAGCGGACCUCCUCUAUGCAUUAAUUGGAUUCAGAAAUGUUCUGCGUAUGAUUUGAAUUUUAAAUUAAUUUUAUAAUCAUUUUGGAGUGAAGAAGAGUGCAAGCAUUUGUUAUACGUAAUUGUCUUGGAAGAAAAGAAAAAUGUACCUAGAACGAUUAGCAAUA